AGAUUGAACGCUGGCGGAAUGCUUUACACAUGCAAGUCGAACGGCAGCACGGGGGCAACCCUGGUGGCGAGUGGCGCACGGGUGAGUAAUACAUCGGAACGUAUCCUAGAGUGGGGGGAUAGCCCGGCGAAAGCCGGAUUAAUACCGCAUACGCUCGAAAGAGGAAAGUGGGGGGAUCGUAAGACCUCACGCCCAAGGAGCGGCCGAUGUCGGAUUAGCUUGUUGGUGAGGUAAAAGCUCACCAAGGCGACGAUCCGUAGCUGGUCUGAGAGGACGACCAGCCACACUGGGACUGAGACACGGCCCAGACUCCUACGGGAGGCAGCAGGUCGGGGAAUUUUGGACAAUGGGGGAAACCCUGAUCCAGCCAUUCCGCGUGAGUGAAGAAGGCCUUCGGGUUGUAAAGUCUCUUUCGGCAGGAACGAAACGGUUUGGUUAACUACCCAGACUACUGUACGUACUAGAAGAAGAAG
rnacentral:rRNA from 1 species